rnacentral:rRNA from 1 species
GGGAAACCGAGUCUUAACCGGGCGUUAAGUUGCAGGGUAUAGACCCGAAACCCGGUGAUCUAGCCAUGGGCAGGUUGAAGGUUGGGUAACACUAACUGGAGGACCGAACCGACUAAUGUUGAAAAAUUAGCGGAUGACUUGUGGCUGGGGGUGAAAGGCCAAUCAAACCGGGAGAUAGCUGGUUCUCCCCGAAAGCUAUUUAGGUAGCGCCUCGUGAAUUCAUCUCCGGGGGUAGAGCACUGUUUCGGCAAGGGGGUCAUCCCGACUUACCAACCCGAUGCAAACUGCGAAUACCGGAGAAUGUUAUCACGGGAGACACACGGCGGGUGCUAACGUCCGUCGUGAAGAGGGAAACAACCCAGACCGCCAGCUAAGGUCCCAAAGUCAUGGUUAAGUGGGAAACGAUGUGGGAAGGCCCAGACAGCCAGGAUGUUGGCUUAGAAGCAGCCAUCAUUUAAAGAAAGCGUAAUAGCUCACUGGUCGAGUCGGCCUGCGCGGAAGAUGUAACGGGGCUAAACCAUGCACCGAAGCUGCGGCAGCGACACUGUGUGUUGUUGGGUAGGGGAGCGU